rnacentral:rRNA from 1 species
GAUGAACGCUGGCGGCGUGCCUAAUACAUGCAAGUCGAGCGAACAGACGAGGAGCUUGCUCCUCUGACGUUAGCGGCGGACGGGUGAGUAACACGUGGAUAACCUACCUAUAAGACUGGGAUAACUUCGGGAAACCGGAGCUAAUACCGGAUAAUAUAUUGAACCGCAUGGUUCAAUAGUGAAAGACGGUUUUGCUGUCACUUAUCGAUGGAUCCGCGCCGCAUUAGCUAGUUGGGAAGGUAACGGCUUACCAAGGCAACGAUGCGUAGCCGACCUGAGAGGGUGAUCGGCCACACUGGAGCGGAGACACGGUCCAGACUCCUACGGGAGGCAGCAGUAGGGAAUCUUCCGCAAUGGGCGAAAGCCUGACGGAGCAACGCCGCGUGAGUGAUGAAGGUCUUCCGAUCGUAAAACUCUGUUAUUAGUGAAGAACAAAUGUGUAAGUAACUAUGCACGUCUUGACGGUACCUAGUCAGAAAGCCACGGCUAACUACGUG